GUUUGAUCCUGGCUCAGAACGAACGCUGGCGGCAGGCUUCAUACAUGCAAGUCGCGCGAUUAAAGCCCCUUCGGGGGUAUAUAAAGCGGCGAACGGGUGAGUAACAGGUGGAUAAUCUGCCUUUCGGUGGGGGAUAACGGCUGGAAACGGCCGCUAAUACCGCAUGUGGUUGCUGGGACACAAGUUCCGGCAAAGAAAGGGGCUUCACGGCCCCGCCGAGAGAUGAGUCCGCCCCCCAUUAGCUAGUUGGCGGGAUAAUAGCCCACCAAGGCUUCGAUGGGUAGCCGAGCUGAGAGGUUGAUCGGCCACACUGGGACUGAGAUACGGCCCAGACACCUACGGGUGGCAGCAGUAGGGAAUAUUGGACAAUGGGCGAAAGCCUGAUCCAGCCAUGCCGCGUGAGUGAUGAAGGCCUUCGGGUCGUAAAACUCUUUUCUGAGGGAAGAACAUCCGGGGCAGGAAAUGGCCCCGGCUUGACGGUACCUCAGGAAUAAGCAACGGCUAACUCCGUGCCAGCAGCCGCGGUAAUACGGAGGUUGCGAGCGUUGUUCGGAUUAACUGGGCGUAAAGGGAGCGCAGGUGGUUUGGUAAGUCUAAAGUGAAAGCCCGGGGCUUAACCUCGGAAGUGCUUUGGAUACUGCCAGACUCGAGUUCGUGAUAGGAAAGCGGAAUUCCAGGUGUAGCGGUGAAAUGCGUAGAUAUCUGGAGGAACACCGGUGGCGAAAGCGGCUUUCUGGCGCGACACUGACA
rnacentral:rRNA from 1 species